rnacentral:tRNA from 1 species
GGUCCCGUAGCUCAGCUGGAUAGAGCUCGAGAUUUCUAAUCUCGCGGUCGCAAGUUCGAAUCUUGUCGGGGCCACCA